rnacentral:rRNA from 1 species
AUUGAACGCUGGCAGCAUGCCUUACACAUGCAAGUCGAACGGCAGCGGGGGAGAAGCUUGCUUUUCCUGCCGGCGAGUGGCGAACGGGUGAGUAAUACAUCGGAACGUGCCCUGUAGUGGGGGAUAACGAGUCGAAAGAUUAGCUAAUACCGCAUACGACCUGAGGGUGAAAGUGGGGGACCGCAAGGCCUCAUGCUAUAGGAGCGGCCGAUGUCUGAUUAGCUAGUUGGUGGGGUAAAGGCCUACCAAGGGGACGAUCAGUAGCUGGUCUGAGAGGACGAUCAGCCACACUGGGACUGAGAAACGGCCCAGACUCCGACGGGAGGCAGCAGUGGGGAAUUUUUGACAAUGGGCGAAAGCCUGAUCCAGCAAUGCCGCGUGUGUGAAGAAGGCCUUCGGGUUGUAAAGCACUUUUGUCCGGAAAGAAAUGGCUCUGGUUAAUACCUGGGGUCGAUGACGGUACCGGAAGAAUAAGGACCGGCUAACUACGUGCCAGCCGCCGCCGUAA